AGUUUGAUCCUGGCUCAGGAUGAACGCUGGCGGUCUGCUUAACACAUGCAAGUCGAACGGAGUGCUUCGGCACUUAGUGGCGGACGGGUGAGUAACGCGUGAGAAUCUGCCCUUAGGACGGGGACAACAGCUGGAAACGGCUGCUAAUACCCGAUGUGCCGAGAGGUGAAACAUUUUAUGGCCUGAGGAUGAGCUCGCGUCUGAUUAGCUAGUUGGUGGGGUAAGAGCCUACCAAGGCGACGAUCAGUAGCUGGUCUGAGAGGAUGAUCAGCCACACUGGGACUGAGACACGGCCCAGACUCCUACGGGAGGCAGCAGUGGGGAAUUUUCCGCAAUGGGCGCAAGCCUGACGGAGCAAGACCGCGUGCGGGAGGACGGCCUAUUGGUUGUAAACCGCUUUUGAUAGGGAAGAAGUACUGACGGUACCUAUCGAAUCAGCAUCGGCUAACUCCGUGCCAGCAGCCGCGGUAAUACGGAGGAUGCAAGCGUUAUCCGGAAUUAUUGGGCGUAAAGCGUCCGCAGGUGGUUAUUCAAGUCUGCUGUUAAAGCGUGGAGCUUAACUCCAUAUCGGCAGUGGAAACUGGAUGACUAGAGUUCGGUAGGGGUAGCGGGAAUUCCCAGUGUAGCGGUGAAAUGCGUAGAUAUUGGGAAGAACACCAGCGGCGAAAGCGCGCUACUGGGCCGAGACUGACACUGAGGGACGAAAGCUAGGGGAGCGAAAGGGAUUAGACACCCCUGUAGUCCUAGCUGUAAACGAUGGGCACUAGUGUUGCGCGUAUCGACCCGUGCAGUGCCGUAGCUAACGCGUUAAGUGCCCCGCCUGGGGAGUACGCACGCAAGUGUGAAACUCAAAG
rnacentral:rRNA from 1 species